GACGAACGCUGGCGGCGUGCUUAACACAUGCAAGUCGAACGGAAAGGCCCUGCUUUUGUGGGGUGCUCGAGUGGCGAACGGGUGAGUAACACGUGAGUAACCUGCCCUUGACUUUGGGAUAACUUCAGGAAACUGGGGCUAAUACCGGUUAGGAGCUCCUGCUGCAUGGUGGGGGUUGGAAAGUUUCGGCGGUUGGGGAUGGACUCGCGGCUUAUCAGCUUGUUGGUGGGGUAGUGGCUUACCAAGGCUUUGACGGGUAGCCGGCCUGAGAGGGUGACCGGCCACAUUGGGACUGAGAUACGGCCCAGACUCCUACGGGAGGCAGCAGUGGGGAAUAUUGCACAAUGGGCGGAAGCCUGAUGCAGCAACGCCGCGUGCGGGAUGACGGCCUUCGGGUUGUAAACCGCUUUCGCCUGUGACGAAGCGUGAGUGGCGGUAAUGGGUAAAGAAGCACCGGCUAACUACGUG
rnacentral:rRNA from 1 species